GUGGGGAAUAUUGGACAAUGGGCGAAAGCCUGAUCCAGCCAUGCCGCGUGUGUGAAGAAGGUCUUCGGAUUGUAAAGCACUUUAAGUUGGGAGGAAGGGCAGUAAGUUAAUACCUUGCUGUUUUGACGUUACCGACAGAAUAAGCACCGGCUAACUUCGUGCCAGCAGCCGCGGUAAUACGAAGGGUGCAAGCGUUAAUCGGAAUUACUGGGCGUAAAGCGCGCGUAGGUGGUUUUGUAAGUUGGAGGUGAAAUCUCCGGGCUCAACCUGGGAACUGCCUCCAAAACUGCAUGACUAGAGUACGGUAGAGGGUAGUGGAAUUUCCUGUGUAGCGGUGAAAUGCGUAGAUAUAGGAAGGAACACCAGUGGCGAAGGCGACUACCUGGACUGAUACUGACACUGAGGUGCGAAAGCGUGGGGAGCAAACAGGAUUAGAUACCCGGGUAGUCC
rnacentral:rRNA from 1 species